ensembl:lncRNA
GGCAGAUGCCAUCAGCUCUUGGCAUAUUGGUGAAUAGCAGGCCAAGCUGCAGGGGAUGCUGUCCUGAAGUGAGGCACACAUACAGGCCCACUCUGUUCUCCAGCCUCGUUACAUGGGUUUCUGUCUCUCCUCAGCAUCCCCUUGAAUGGCAUCUACUGCACAUAACUUUUCGGACCACAAAGCUGAAACACUUCCUGUGACUCAAAUGGCUCCAGCACAGCUAUUUCCUAGAAGACAUCCUCCCUGAUUUCUUGUGGUGCCUGUUAGAUUGCUGAAGUUGCAGUGCAGAGAUAAACCAGAUACCAGAAUAGAGGAACGUUUCUCAGAAGGACCAGUGAGACAUCUCCUGACCUCUGUCUCCAUCUGAGGAUAUAUCUGGAGUAGAGCAGAGAAGCAGAGGCACCACAGACUACAGAUACCCAUGGGGAAUGUUGUUCUGCCUCAAGGUUCAGCUCUACAAUAUGGCCAUGGACCGUAUAUACCCAUAGGUUCCUGUGAG